GAAGAAAUCACAUCAACAUGACCAUGCGCCUGCAAUUGAUUUUGGCAGGUAUUCCAAUCAUGAGCGACAGAGAGAGAGAGAGAGAAAGAGAGAGAGAGAGAGAGAGAGAUCAACCAUUUCCAGGCCCAGGGACAUGUACCAGUCUGUGGCGACCUAAAUGCGAGAAUUGGACAAGAACCUGACACCCUCAGCACACAGGGGGACAAACACCUACCUGGAGGUGACAGCAUUCCCUCCCCCAUAUGCUCCUCUCGACACAACUAUAAGAAAACCACCAAAAACAGGACCUGAGCCCUAGGACCAUGCCUCAGGACUACCUGGCUUGAUGACUCCUUGCUGUCCCCAGUUCACCUGGCCGUGCUGCUGCUCCAGUUCCAACUGUUCUGCCUGCGGCUAUAGAGCCCUGACCUGUUCACUGGACGCGCUACCUGUCCCAGACCUGCUGUCCCAGACCUGCUGGAACCCUGACCUGUUCACCGGACGUGCUACCUGUCCCAGACCUGCUGUUUUCAACUCUCUAGAGACAGCAGGAGCGGUAGAGAUACUCUCAAAGAUCGGCUAUGAAAAAGCCAACUGACACUUAGUCUUGUGUUACUAACUUGUUGCACCCUCGACAACUACUAUGAUUAUUAUUAUUUGACCAUGCUGGUCAUUUAUGAACAUUUGAACAUCUUGGCCAUGUUCUGUUAUAAUCUCCACCCGGCACAGCCAGAAGAGGACUGGCCACCCCUCAUAGCCUGGUUCCUCUCUAGGUUUCUUCCUAGGUUUUGGCCUUUCUAGGGAGUUUUUCCUAGCCACCGUGCUUCUACACCUGCAUUGCUUUCUGUUUGGGGUUUUAGGCUGGGUUUCUGUACAGCACUUUGAGAUAUCAGCUAAUGUAAGAAGGGCUAUAUAAAAACAUUUGAUUUGAUUUGAUAUUAAAAUAUGCAGGACAGGUUUCCCUUGUAAAAUAGGUAUUUUGACCUCAAUCGGACUUCCUGGCUAAAUACAAAUAACACUUCCACACUACUUUAUAAAACAAUUUAUUUUAAAUUUAAUUUCAAUUGCACUGCAUGAUUGAGAUCAAUCUUCUGCCACCAAAUUAAAUGUGGCUGUUAUAAAGAACACAUAUCAUUUCAGUUAAAUCAGAAAUCAGUUAAUAAGUAAUUAGUCAUUAGUAAUAAUUUUAAGUCAGUUAAUAAGUCAUUAGUCAUUAACUGACUUAAAAUUAUUACUAAUAAGUAAUUAGUCAUUAGUAAUAAUUGGGGAGAUCAAAAUCAAUAAUAAAGUCAAGAUCAAUAUGAUUAGAAAUUCUCCUUAAAACAUUCAGAAUCCUAAUGACUAUUGAAACAAACCCUGCAGACAGACACAAGUUGAAGCGAUGGGUGUGUGUUUAGUAGCGUAGACUAGAGAUGGGUCGUCGAGGAACAGGCUUCUGCGUGGCCAAAUUAUCUAGUUUAAGGUCAACCUUUCUGAGCAGGGAGAGACAGCGCGCGCGUGCGCGGACACACACGCACACACACGCGCGCACACACACACACACACACACACACACAC
rnacentral:lncRNA from 1 species